GGGCGCGAGCGUUGUCCGGAUUUAUUGGGCGUAAAGAGCUCGUAGGCGGCUUGUCGCGUCGACUGUGAAAACCCGUGGCUCAACCAUGUGGUCUGCAGUCGAUACGGGCAGGCUAGAAUUCGGUAGGGGAGACUGGAAUUCCUGGUGUAGCGGUGAAAUGCGCAGAUAUCAGGAGGAACACCGGUGGCGAAGGCGGGUCUCUGGGCCGAUAUUGACGCUGAGGAGCGAAAGCGUGGGGAGCGAACAGG
rnacentral:rRNA from 1 species